UACGUAGGGCGCAAGCGUUUGUCCGGAAUCUGAUUGGGCGAUAAAGCGCGCGUUAGGCGGCCCGGUAAGUCCGCUGAUGAAAGUCAAAGGCUCAACCUUUGGAAUGUCAGCGGAUACGUGCCGGGCUAGAGUCCGGAAGGAGGCGAGUGGAACUCCUGGUGUAGCGGUGGAAUGCGCAGAUAUCAGGAGGAACACCGAUGGCGAAGGCAGAUCUCUGGGCCGUUACUGACGCUGAGGAGCGAAAGCAUGGGGAGCGAACAGG
rnacentral:rRNA from 1 species